rnacentral:rRNA from 1 species
CUACGGGUUGCUCCAGUGAGGAAUAUUGCACAAUGGGGGGAACCCUGAUGCAGCAACGCCGCGUGGAGGAUGACGCAUUUCGGUGUGUAAACUCCUUUUAUAUGUCAAGAAAAUGACGGUAGCAUAUGAAUAAGCGCCGGCUAACUCCGUGCCAGCAGCCGCGGUAAUACGGAGGGCGCAAGCGUUACUCGGAAUCACUGGGCGUAAAGGACGCGUAGGCGGGUUGAAAAGUCAGGUGUGAAAGCCUACAGCUUAACUGUAGAACUGCACUUGAAACUCUCAACCUAGAGUAUGGGAGGGGCAGAUGGAAUUAGUGGUGUAGGGGUAAAAUCCGUAGAUAUCACUAGGAAUACCUAAAGCGAAGGCGAUCUGCUGGAACAUUACUGGCGCUAAGGCGUGAAAGCGUGAGGAGCAAACAGGAUUAGAUACCCCAGUAGUC